rnacentral:rRNA from 1 species
CACGUAGGGCGCGAGCGUUGUCCGGAAUUAUUGGGCGUAAAGAGCUCGUAGGCGGCCUGUUGCGUCCGCUGUGAAAUCCCUGGGCUCAACCCAGGGCCUGCAUCGGAAACUGUCGGGCUUGAGUAUGGGAGAGGUGAGUGGAAUUUCCGGUGUAGCGGUGAAAUGCGUAGAUAUCGGAAGGAACACCUGUGGCGAAAGCGGCUCACUGGACCAUUACUGACGCUGAGGCACGAAAGCUAGGGGAGCAAACAGG